GACAGCAGUAGCCGCGGUAAUACGGAGGGUGCAAGCGUUAAUCGGAAUUACUGGGCGUAAAGCGCACGCAGGCGGUCUGACAAGUCAGAUGUGAAAUCCCCGGGCUUAACCUGGGAACUGCAUUUGAAACUGUCAGGCUGGAGUCUUGUAGAGGGGGGUAGAAUUCCAGGUGUAGCGGUGAAAUGCGUAGAGAUCUGGAGGAAUACCGGUGGCGAAGGCGGCCCCCUGGACAAAGACUGACGCUCAGGUGCGAAAGCGUGGGGAGCAAACAGGAUUAGAUACCCCGGUAGUCCCUGUCUCUUAUAC
rnacentral:rRNA from 1 species